rnacentral:rRNA from 1 species
AUUGAACGCUGGCGGCAGGCCUAACACAUGCAAGUCGAGCGAGUGGCGGACGGGUGGGUAAUGUUUGGGGAUUGCCCGAGAGUGGGGGGUAACUACUGGAAACGGUAGCUAAUACCGCAUACUAUCGGAUAACCCAUAUGGGAUUAGCUAGUAGGUGAGGUAAUGGCUCACCUAGGCGACGAUGCCUAGCUGGGCUGAGAGGAUGAUCAGCCACACUGGGACUGAGACACGGCCCAGACUCCUACGGAGGCAGCAGUGGGGAAUAUUGCACAAUGGGCGCAAGCCUGAUGCAGCCAUGCCGCGUGUAUGAAGAAGGCCCUAGGGUUGUAAAGUACUUUCGGUCGGGAGGCGUUACCGAAAGAAGAAGCACCGGCUAACUCCGUGCCAGCAGCCGCGGUAAUUC